GAUGCACUGGGAGGGACUUUGAGAUGCUCCCAGCGAGGAAUAUUCCACAUUUCUGGGAUCCAGUAACUCCUGAGGGCCUGACCCCAUCAAAUCCCAGCUGAGGAGUCACCUGUGGGACAAAGUGUUCCAUUUUUAUGGGGUGAAGCCCCAAAUCCCAGCUGAGGAGUCACCUGUGGGACAAAGUGUUCCAUUUUUAUGGAGUGGAGUUCCAAAUCCCAGCUGAGGAGUGGCCUGUGGGACAAAAUGUUCCUUUUUUGUGGGGUGGAGCCCCAAAAAAUCCCAGCUGAGGAAUGACUUGUUUAGGAAUUCAUUGAGAAAUGAAUUUGAUUUGGACAAGAAGUUCCUUUUUUGUGGAGUGAGUCCCCACAUCCCAGCUGAGCAAUGACCUGUGGCAUGAGAUGUCCCAUUUUUUUUGGAGUGAAGCCCCAAAUCAACAUCAAAUCCCAGCUGAGGAAUGACUUUUAGGAUAAAGUGUUCAGUUUUUAUGGUGUGAAGCCCCAAAUCAACAUCAAAUCCCAGCUGAGGAAUAACUUCUUGAGGAAUUCAUUGAGAAAUUGAUUUGAUUUGGACAAGAUGCUCCAUUUUUGUGGGUUGAAGCUCCAAAUCAAUAUCAAAUCUCAGCUGAGGAGUGACUUGUGGGACAAAGUUAAAUUUUUAUGGAGUGGAGCCCCAAAUCCCAGCUGAGGAAUGACUUGUGGGACAAAGUGUUCCAUUUUUAUGGGGUGGAGCCCCAAAUCAACAUCAAAUCCCAGCUGAGGAAUAACUUCUCGAGGAAAUCAUUGAGAAAUUAAUUUGGACAAGAUGCUCCAUUUUUAUGGAGUGGAGCCCCAAAUAAACAUCAAAUCCCAGCUGAGGAAUGACCUGUGGGACAAAGUUCCAUUUUUUUUUGGAGUGAAGCCCCAAACCAGCCCCUGCAGUGCCUCCCCACCCAGCUCCUUUAGGGCUAUAGCAGCUUCCAAAAUUCUGAAUUAUUUCAGAUUUUUUUUCCAUAUUUAAUUCCUAGUUUCUUUUCUCAUUGUUUUUAAGUUGUGCAUGACAUAGGAAUUUUUUUUUUUUUUUUGGUUAUUUGGGCUGAUCCGUUCUUCUUAAGGAGUGGAAUGUGUAAAUAGCUGGAAUGCAGAUUUUUUUCAGGAGAUUCUUUAAAGUCAGAGAAAGGGGGAGGGAAGGAAGUGAUUCUCUUGUGUCCCAAAGUCCAUGUCAGAGAGAGUAAAUAUUUCCUCUGGUGUGAAAAAUAUUUUUAUAACUGGUUGAAAGUGCAGGUAUUGAGUUUAUCAGGAAAAAGAGAGUUAAGGAAUACUAAAAUUAGCAGAUUCUUGUCUGAAUUUUUUUCAUGUCCAAAAAAACUGUUGAUUGCAAAUAGUUGCUUCAAGCAUUGACAAGGGCCACCUUUUGCCUAUGAAGUCGUCUCAAAAAAAAAUAAAAUCUUGCAUUGAUUUUAAAAAAAGUAAAAAAAAAAAAAAACAGGAAAAAAUUUAAAAAAAAAACCAAGAAAAAAAAGCAAAAAAAAAAAAAUCUUUAAUCCAAGUAGCAUUAGGUAUUGCUGUCUGAUCAGUCGUAUGGUUAUUUGAAAGGUUCACAUGAUGUGGCAUCAAAAAUUGUUUUUAGUGUUUUUACAGCAUCCCUCUGCCACUAAAUAGUUGACUUGAAUUUUGGAAAAAGGAAACUGUUGGUGUUUAUAUGUAUAUGUGUGUGUAUAUAUGUAUUUAUAGAUCCGUGUGUGUGAGUUCCAGGUGAGUUCAAUAGUUUUUUCCCAUGCAUGUGUAUUUCAUACAUAUCUGGCUGAUAUAUUCUAUUUCACCAUACACCGAUUUUAUAAUUUAUUAAAUGUCAGUUAAAAAAAAGAGAAAAAAAAAAAAGAAAUAAAAGGAUAGAAAAUGGGAAA